AGCCGGAAGUGGCAAUCUGUUUGGGUCUCCUUCUACAGUGUGGAGGUUUUAUUCUUUUGCUCUUUGCUGCAAAUCAUGCUGCUCACUGUUCGGGUCCAGGCUGCUUUAAUGAGCUGUAACACUCACUGCGAAGGUUUGUAGCUUCUCUUUUGAGGCCAGAGAGACCAUGAACCCAGGGGGAGGAAUGAACAACUCCAGACGCGCCUCUUUAAGAGCUGUAACACUCACCGCCUAGGUCUGCAGCUUUGCUCCUGAGCCAGCGAGACCAGGAACCCACCAGAAGGAAGAAACUCUGGACAUGCCACCUUUAAGAACUGUAACACUCACCGCGAGGAUCUGCAGCUUCAUUCUUGAGGAGCUCCCUGAAAGGCUGAAAUGUCAGCUUGUCAGUGUUUCCUGUAUGCCUGAGCGCUCUCUCCCUGGUGAGACGCAGGGCCUGCUCCGUCAGGAUGGAUGGUUUAAUCCCACCUGCCACUGGGGGGGGACCCCGGUUGCUUCACACCAACUCCUGAGCUCCUCAAAUGGGGAGUGUCACGAGUGGGCAGGGGCAGCUUCCCUGUCUGAGCACAUUGGAAACAAGUCCCGGUCAUUUGCAUCAGGACUGCCUCGAGGCUUUUCAAAUUCAGACAACAUCUGGUCUCUGCAGAGAAAAAUAACUAAUUCACACUGUGACCUCCCAGAAAGAUCACCACUUCGUCCUGAAGCACUCCCUUGCCGGCAGGUGUUAAUGCCAGGUAAAAAGAGAGCCCCUGUCUAAUAGUCUCCACCUCUGGAAUGGAAAAAGCUGAGCUGGGUCAAAGGAGCGUGACUUCUGGGCAGCCCCUGGGUAGACUUCUUUCAGGAAUCUGCCUCCUUCUCCACCUCCACUUAACCUCUUUCUUUAGACCCUCGCAGAAAGCUGGAGUCAGGCAGCAGAGGCUAAGAUGGCUGUGCCUGGGCUUGGUGAGGCCAGAGAGCAAAGGCAUCUCUGCACCAUCUCAGAGACCCUUUCUCAGCCCUUAGCUACCUUCGAGCCCCAGCUCCAGUGGGCUCUCUCCGCACCAUGAGAGGACAUCUCUCCAACCUCCUCCCUGCAUCUUCUUGAGAACUAGACACCCCUCUCAGAGUUAGGGGUGUAUGCGCCCCAUCUUCUCUGCACAGAUUAUGAUCUCUCUCAGGACACUGCUUUAUGCCCAGAACGCCUGUCCAGGGGAGGCUUUUCUAUAAAUGUUGAAAGAACAAAAUGAAUGGGGCCCAGCUCCAUGCUCAGCACUACCUUGUCUCCACGCCACAUUUCUGAACAUCUCUUUCUCUAAUUUUCGACCCUCAACUUGGCCUGUCAGACAGUGUUGAACUUCCCUUUCCCUGUCUUUCUCAGGUGCAGACUUUUCUUUGCUACCUAGCAUUUACAGAAAUUACAAAUCUUCCUCCUUUCUCAAUUUGGCCUCUGUCUCAGCCAGGAUGUUGGGCUGCUGCUUUGACCCGUUCUCACAAACUGACAGCCAUCACCAAGGCCAUUGCCCUUGCCCAAGAAGAAAAAUAGGGCAACAUCCUUUGUGUUCUUAGAUUGAUUAUCCCAGAUUCAUUCAAAGGACAUGAAUUCAAUAACAUCAAGCUCUCCUCUACCCAAGCAAUGGGAAGUGCAGGUUUCCCUGCUAGUGACCCACCUUACAUGCGACAUGUGCCACCCGCUGCCUUGAGGGUUGAAUCUGGAGCUGUAGGCCAUCUCUCCAACAGGAUCACCAUUGCAGAAACUCGCUAUCCUUUUCAUGUUGGAUAGAUAUAGGGGGUUGAGUAGCAUCCUUGCCCACCCCAUCCCCAAAGUCACGUCCUUCCCAGAACCUCAGAAUGUGACCUUAUUUGGAAAUCACAUCAUUACAGAUGGAAUUUCUUAAAUAAGGUCACACUGGAGCAGGGGAGGCCCUCAAUCCACUGUUACUGGUGUCUCAUAAGAAGAUGACAAAAGACAGAGACACACAGGGGGAAUAUCAUGUGAUGUUGGAGACAUAAGUUAAAGAGAUGCGUCUAUCAGUCAAGGAACUCCAAGGAUUGCCAGCAAACCCGGAAGCCAGAGGAGAGGCAUGGAACAGACCCUCCCUCAGAGCCUGCAGAAGGAGCCAACCCUGCCAACCCCUUGAUUUCAGUCUUCCAGCCCCCAGAACUGUGAGACAAUCAAUUUCUAUCACUGUGAGGCUCUUGGUUUGUGGUCAUUUGUUAUGGCAGCCCUAGGAAUCUAACAUAAUGGAAUAAAGAAUCUUGUAUUUGAGAUCUUUUUCA
rnacentral:lncRNA from 1 species